rnacentral:lncRNA from 1 species
AAAAAAUGAAAAAAUUAUUUUCACACUCCUACCUUAGGAUAAUAUUAUUCAACAUUGAAGAAAAAAUAAGUGAAAAAUGGGCUGUCCGAAAAAAUAUUUCAUCCUGCCUGAAAAAAAAAAAAAAACAUCAUCAUAAUAAACAUAUGAAAAUAGUGAAAAAUGGGUGAAAAGAUAUAUUUUCUCUCAUUUUCCAUCAAAAUAAACACACCCUUAAAUUAUAGCGAGCCUCUUUUUGUCACGAAUAAAAUCCUAACAUGCAAUUGGGUUUGUACAACAUCCUACGAUCCAACGUAUUGCAUUCU